UCUCUACAGGAUCGCGUGCAGUUCAGGUGCUUGGGGGGCACUGGAGCGAAUCCAGGUGUGAGUGUAGGAGGGAAAACGCGGUGUGGACAAAAACAUUGAGUGGAACCGAAACAUCUGGCAGUUUGACUUCCAAGCUUUUUUCUGCGUCUUGGAAAUAUACAUCAACACAGGGAACCAACCCGAAUAAAGGAACAACUGGAAUUUAUAACUGCUUAUAUAACGCAGUUUAAAGUUGCGUAUGUGUCUAUUGCAAGAAAAAAUAUAAAGAGACAAUAUGCUGUAUAAAACAACUAUAAUCUCUCACGAAUGCAUUUAAAUAUUGAAGCAUAUGCUUAAAAAUGGGUGAUUGGAGCCCAACUGAGAUGCAGUGAUUGUGAAUGAAUUAUUUCCGACAUGAUUGUGACAGUUGGCUUCCCGUUGAUUGGCCCUUUUAUGUACAAUUCCCACACCCAUCCAGUCCAUUCUAUGGAAAGAUCCGCUCAUCUCCUUAGCCAGCCAAACCGAGUUUAUGCGUGCUAGUAACUUAAAAUAGUCCAAAAAUAACAGCAUGCCUGCAGGCAGGGAUACCUCGAGGUGAUGUAAGACCGCGAGCAGAGCUUUCAGGCAGAGAAGGACCAAUUGGAUGUAGCGUUAGUGUUAUUGCUAAAUUCUGCUCAUUUUGAUUGAAGCGAGACCAGGAAUAUACAGGAAAAAAGCCUACUUACUUGCAUCAACAGGACAAAUGUGCACAUUUUGAAUAUAAUUCUGUGUGUUACUCACCUUGGGGGACACUGUUGGAGUAACAAAGUGUUGUGGGUGGGGACAUAUCCCAUCUGCCACUGCCCGAAUUCUUUGGGUUAGCAGCUCUCCACAUGGCUCAGUUAAAGGCGCUAGCUACAUGGUCAAUCUGCAGUUAAACGCGCUAUAUGGCCUCUGCAGAAGUUAGAUCAUUCAUACUUCUUGCGCUUCGCUGAGCAGCGCAGGGCUGUUAUCAAGGAAGUGAGUUUGUGUUUAUGCUGGACCUCCAUCCCUCACCUACCACCACCCAAUCAUUUAAAUGCGGAGCUAUAUGUAGCCCUCCACAUUGUUACAUUUGAGAGGCGCUAGGUGAUGCGGUACGGAGCUCAAUUUGGCCUCAGGGUCCCUCUGGAGACUCCGCGAUUGCAUCACAAUAUCCAUACGGCGCCUCCGAAUACAUUUUCGGAUCAAGCAUAAAUUGGCACUCGUGCUGGCUUUCACCGCGUGAGAAGCGACUCUCUGGAACUGUAGAGAUGCGUGAGAAACCACACUCCAAACUGCAGGAGCAUGCUACAGUCGAACAAGGCAUCGCAACGAACUGACUGGACUUUUAAUCCACACCAACGGAUUUAUACGGUUUAAAUCGAUGUUUAUUAAUUAAGCAGGUUUCGUCGGCAUCUGCUCCGUGGUUCGUUGACUGUCAGAUCUCAUUGGAUAUCCCUGGACCCACGGCCAGAUGUGCGUGCUGUGCGUUAUGGAGUUAUAUAUCGAGUUAUGUUCAGCUGUGGAUCGAUUUACGCAUGCUUGAGGUUCAACAUUUAGAUGUCGACAUCCGACUUGGAUCGCUUUUUACUCACCAUGCUUAUGGAUAUUCAUAUCCCGCGGACCCAUUGGCGACAGUUGCCCAGGAGUUGGGUUAGAACUAUAGAACGCAUCAGCAUCAAUGACACAGGUGGAUGUCAACAAGCUCGUGUUUUACAACUUGCCACAUAACGGCCCUUUGCUUAAAUGUAAGAAGAAACUCGAUUUUGGAUUGUAAAAUGGCACACCUGGAUAAGACGUGGCAAGAACAUCAUUUUGAAGUGGCCUUACAGGUGCGUAACAAAUGCCUUGGCGAGUCAGAAUGCCUGGAGCAAAUGAAACAACAGGGAAUUCCGGACGUGAUAUGAAGAAAUGGUGUGAGGACAAGACCCCCAAGCCUCUCCCUCUACUGAAAGCUGAGUGGGACAGAGAGGGUGUGAAGAAAGACGCCCCCCUCUACCCCUUAGUCCUGAAGAGAGACGAAUUAACCAGUUGAAAAAGAGUGACUCACACUCUCCUCUCUGCUCAUCCAUCCCAUCCCUCAUUCCAUCUGGUUUGUAUUUCUUUGGAUGUUUCUCCACCUCCAGCCUCUGGGUAGUACCAGCGCCAAGGCCCAGAUGGCUGCCGACCCAGCCCCACCACGGAGAGUGUACACUGGGUUGGAAAACGCCUGGGCUUGCCUCUUGGCUGGGGUAUGGAUGGUGGGGUAUGGUUGGGAAGGGAAGGGCGGUCUUGGCUGGUAAUGGGACUCCGGCACUGACGCAACAUCCGUCGAUCAUCCAUCGCAUUCAUUGGUAGUUGAUACCCUCCGUGCUAAGGGCGAGAACCCAGUCGUGUUGAGGGGUGUUGCGGCGUGGACAGUGAGAGAGGACGCCACAGACUGGCCAGACGUCCCCUAGAUCAGUAACUGAGACUGGCAUCUCAUGGAACUGGUGCGGGCAUCAGUACCAGACUGAUAAACUGGCAUGAGAAACUAUUUUAGCAUCUAAAUAGCAUGUCUAAAUGUAAUGGUUUUCAGCUCCAGAAGUCAGCAUGGAGAACCUGAUUGGUGCUGUAUUGUAGUCUGUUUUUAACAGACAAGAGCCAUAUGAUAUCAGGACGACCUACUUUUAGUGACACACUUGUUUUUGAAGCUCAAAGGGAGUACACACUGGUGAAGGAAGUAUGGCUUAUGUUUGUUUACGUCCAAAUGCUUUGGAGAAAGGGUGGUCACAUCCUAUGGCAGAUUAUCCUUUCUUUAAGGGAGAGAAGAGAGAGAGAGAGGGAAGGAGAAAGUAAAGAAGCGGUGCCUGAGGGGCAGUCCUUUGUUUCGUUUUGUUUAUUCCUCCACGUGUCUAAAUAAAAAAGGCCUCGGCGGAA